UACGGAAGGCAGCAGUAGGGAAUCUUCCGCAAUGGACGAAAGUCUGACGGAGCAACGCCGCGUGAACGAUGAAGGCUUUCGGGUCGUAAGUUCUGUUGUUAGGGAGAACAAGUACCGGAGUAACUGCCGGUACCUUGACGGUACCUAACCAGAAGCCACGGCUAACUACGUGCCAGCAGCCGCGGUAAUACGUAGGUGGCAAGCGUUGUCCGGAAUUAUUGGGCGUAAAGCGCGCGCAGGCGGUCCUUUAAGUCUGAUGUGAAAGCCCACGGCUCAACCGUGGAGGGUCAUUGGAAACUGGGGGACUUGAGUGCAGAAGAGGAGAGUGGAAUUCCACGUGUAGCGGUGAAAUGCGUAGAGAUGUGGAGGAACACCAGUGGCGAAGGCGACUCUCUGGUCUGUAACUGACGCUGAGGCGCGAAAGCGUGGGGAGCGAACAGGGAUUAGAUACC
rnacentral:rRNA from 1 species